UGCUGUCGUCAUGACCGCGCCAUUGCAGCGGUGGGUGUUGCCCGUAUACACUGACUGUGUGGUGAACAGUGAUUGGCAUAAGUCAAGCAGGAAUUUAAACGCGCAUACCAAAGCUAAGGUUACAGCCAAUGUUGAUCCGUGACACCAUCAGCUGCUGCUAGUUGAAGCACAUGCAGUACUUCGUAGCCCCGUUGAAUGCUACAUGUCGCUCACUGUUGAUCAUGGUUAAUCCGUCGGCGACGCAAGGAGAGGACGGACAUAAGUUCACGCGGUCCCAAACCGACAGAUUGGUACAUUUCGUCGCCGCGACAGUGCAAAUUCCAGUGUCCCUUUCAAUAAUAAUCAAUGCAAUAUGCAUGGUUGUCUACAACUUCUUCCUGGCCAAUGUCGCCGCGGGAUUCUGGUGCCCCGUUUUCUUCAUCGUCUCAAGUGUCCUUGGGAUCUUAUUCACUAUUUUCCCGCAGCCAAAUCUCCGUCAACUCAGCCUCCUGAGUUGUCUCAUGAACAUGACCAUAUUCUACAUGGUUGUGAUACUGAUAGGAAUGAUAGGCGCGGCGGCGGAUGAUGAUGUGCCUAAAAACAAAAUUAGGAUUGUGCCUCAUAUUAUGAACAUCGUCUUGGGAUUAAUUGGCUUUAUGGCAUCUUUUAUACAAGCCACGACAGUCGGAUGGAAGAAAAAAGAAAACCGACACAGUGUUGAGACAACUCAGACUCUUGAAUUGGUCACAUUGGGUGACAAUUCAUCACAAUGUCGUGGACCCCACACAAGUCUCCAUGUGCCUGAAGGCCAUACCGCUGCCCGCCCAAUCACUCCACGCUCCCCCGUGCUAGGCUCAUCAUUUCGUCAAGUCGGUUUGCCAAUCCCACCGUCCACUCCUCAUGAAGACAGGGCUUCGCUCUCAGGACGAACAGAGGACUUCAGACAACUUUAUGAGGAUUAUUACAAUGGGAAUAACCAUAGUGGUAGACUAAGAAACGUGGAGAGUCUUGAUAUACUGACCUGAUGAUAUCCGUCCCGACCUCCCAUGGCCAGAACACACAAAAACUAUUUCAGUGAAAAUUUUCGAAAAUCUGUGUAUUGCGAUUUUCCGAUUAUAUUUUGCCUUGUAUUCUUGUGCAUUUCCGAUGCAUUAAUAUAUGUUAUUUGUAAGAACAAAAUCCAUUAAACAAAUAAAAAAUGUA